GGCCUUCCUCUUCUUCUCCUUUUCCCAUUUGCUUACUUUGUUUUUGAGUUUUUCUCCUUCUGUUGUUCUGGUUCUUGUUUUUCUCCUCUUUUUUAGCCCUUUUGAUUUCUGGGUUCCUUGUCUUUGUGGCUAAAAUCCAUCAAAGAUCCAAUCUUUUUUCACAAAUUCUGUUCCUUUUAACCUCUGAUUUCUGGGUUUUUGCUGAAACCCAUCAUAGAUCCAACCUUUUUCUGUUCUGAGUUGAAACCCAUCAAAGAUCUAACCUUUUCUCUUCUGGGUUUUUCAAUCUUUGUGGCUAAAAGAUCCAAUUUUUUUCUCCAUUUUUCCUGCUCUGUUUUCUGGGUUUUUACUCUUUUCUUGCUGAAACCCAUUAAAGAUCUGUGAAAAAAAGAAGCAAAAAUUAAUGCUAAUUAGAAAUAUUUAUUGAUGUACCAGAUUCAUGUCUCCAGUUCUUAGUGAAAUCCUUCGUUCUGGUUAUAUAAUCAGUUCAUCACUUAGACGCAGAACUCAUCUUGUUCAAUCUUUCUCUGUUUCUUUCCUCUACUGGUUUUACACUUUCUCAGAAUAUUAAAAAAAUAAUAAUCUUCAUCUAUAAUUUUGCUUAGCAUACCUUAAAAAACUUUAAAAUUAGUACUUCUCCCAUCAUCUGUACAUAAAAAAAAUGGCUACUUCUAGUGGUAAUUCAUCUCAGAUUCCAAACAAUUCAGCUUCUGAUGAAGUUUUCAUGGUGGUUGAUGAAAGGAAAAGAAAGAGAAUGCAAUCGAAUCGCGAAUCAGCAAGAAGAUCAAGAAUGAGAAAACAGAAACAUUUGGAU
rnacentral:misc_RNA from 1 species